rnacentral:rRNA from 1 species
AGUGAACGCUGGCGGUAGGCCUAACACAUGCAAGUCGAACGGCAGCACAGGAGAGCUUGCUCUCUGGGUGGCGAGUGGCGGACGGGUGAGGAAUACAUCGGAAUCUACUCUGUCGUGGGGGAUAACGUAGGGGAACUUACGCUAAUACCGCAUACGACCUACGGGUGAAAGCAGGGGACCUUCGGGCCUUGCGCGAUUGAAUGAGCCGAUGUCGGAUUAGCUAGUUGGCGGGGUAAAGGCCACCAAGGCGACGAUCCGUAGCUGGUCUGAGAGGAUGAUCAGUCACACUGGAACUGAGACACGGUCCAGACUCCUACGGGGGGCAGCAGUGGGGAAUAUUGGACAAUGGGCGCAAGCCUGAUCCAGCCAUACCGCGUGGGUGAAGAAGGCCUUCGGGUUGUAAAGCCCUUUUGUUGGGAAAGAAAUCCAGCUGGCUAAUACCCGGUUGGGAUGACGGUACCCAAAGAAUAAGCACCGGCUAACUUCGUGCCAGCAGCCGCCGUAA